rnacentral:lncRNA from 1 species
CAACCCCAAGGGCGCGAGUCCGGCCGACGUCGCGCAGAAGAUCAUCAAGCAGGUUUGGAAACCAUAUAUCAUAGAUGAUCAUCUUGGUUCUGUACUGUUUCCUGUGCACAUUAUUCAUCGUUUCAUACCAAAUCACCGGUGCAGUAGCGAAGAACUAUAGAUUCUGAAACUGAAAAUGCCGAGAGUAUAUAUGGUGUAGGACUGUAGGUGUGAUCACCGUGCCAACAGAUCAGGGAGCUCUACAGGAUCUCUGAAUUCUCAUCCUGAACUUUCGAUGCAUCCAUUUUUUAUCACUUGAUCAGUGAUGUUUUCAGUAGUAACUUGUUACUUGUCAGACUAUUCUCGUGAUUUUCGGAUUUUUUUUUUCUUUUUGAUCUGUGUAGAUCAUGCUGUUGACGUUUUCUUUUCAUGAUGUGUCCUUUAUGUGUUUCUUGAUUUUGGAGUGGCUGGCAUUUAUUAGUUACAUUGUUCUCGCCUUGUGCAGGUUGAGUACCAGUUCAGUGACACUAAUUUGGUUGCGAAUGAUUUCUUGACGAAGAUCAUGAACAAGGAUCCUGAGGGCUAUGGUAUUUAAAAGCCUACAACACCUUCUCCUUUUUUUAUACAAUAGAAAAGUUCCUAGACCACAGAGAUAAUGUACUAUUAGCACACAUGGAACAUAAAUAAAUCAUAUGACUACAAAAUACAGGGCCAGCAACACGAAUGGCCUUUAUAACUGAUGAUGAAAAAACUAAAUGUGUGUUCGACGUUUUGGCCAGUUCCUUUGUCUGUCAUAUCAUCCUGGAAGAAGAUCAAGGCUAUGGGGGUAACAAACCAACUGCUGGUUACGGCUCUCCGGACCUCGGAAAAGCUUGUAAGCCAAUGCUGCUACCUUUGCUCCUUGCAACAACUGGUUGCCAUGCAUCAUAUCAUGAAAUACUUUCUUCAGGUUGUCAGCGAUGACGGCAAGAAAGUGCGACGGGCUCAGCCAUUCACCGAGAGACACAAAGAAGAGCUGCAGGUCAGUACUUCCGAGCAGGACAAGGUUUCAGCUACUGAAAUGGAAACAAUUAGCGCUUCAUCUGCCUCCUAUACUAAGACCAAAUUAAUCCUUAUGACUCAUGCAGUGUCGGAUGGUCAUCGCCGAGAAUUUGCCGCAUGAUUCCACGAGGAACAGCCUCGAGAAGAUCUUCGGCAUCAUUGGCAGGUCAGAACAGAACACACAACCCCCUCUGAUCCCAUGUAGUUUGUUGUAUGCGAUGUACAGUAGUCAUGAUCAUGAGUCUCUUAACCAUGUGCACUAUACAACGAGUUUGCAGUGUGAAAAACAUCAGAAUCUGCCAUCCGCAAGAACCCAGCUCUGCAAGAUCAUCCAAGUCCGACGCAAACACACUAGUCAGUAACAAGGUACUUGAUACUGAUCCGGGGCCUUCCAUUUCUUUUUCUUUCAAUUCAGUUUUCUUUUUUUUUAUAUAUAUCUCAUCAUCUGAUGACAAUUGUCCUGUCUGUUCUGUUCUGAAACAGCUGCAUGCUCUUAUAGAGUACGAGACCUCACACCAAGCCGACAGAGCAGUAAGUCAAUUUCAGACAAAUGAAACCUUGAAGUUUUACUUCCACUUCCCUGUGCCACUGAAAUCUGUUCUUGUGCUUCAUCAGGUGGACAAGUUGAACGACGAAAGAAACUGGAGGAGGGGCCUCCGCGUGCGCCCGGUGCUGCGACGAUCGGUAACUGAAGCUCAUUCAUUCAUCGGUUCUAGUCCCAUUUCAGAACUAUGAUCACUGACUUGGCAUGCCGGCGCCCAUCCAACUCACCACAGCCCAAGGCGGCAACACGGCUGAAGCGGCCGGACUUGGACCACCUCGCCGCCUCCGACGAGGAGCGCUCGCCGCAGUCGCAGGGCUCGUCGUCCGACUCCCUGACGGCGGCGCACUUUCCUGACAACAGCGUAAGCGGAAACGCCACGCCAUGCUAUGAUGUUCCUGCCUGACCAUGUCUCUGCCGCUAACUGAUGCGCACGAUUGGAUUGCACGCAUUUCUCGCUUUGGCAGCAGCAGGAGGAGGACCAGCACCAGCACGUCGGCGCCAAGAAGCCAUGGGGCAGAGGGCGGGGCAGGCCGCCGCAGACGCUGCACUCCUCCGCGCACGCUGCUGGCGCGCCGGGGCAUCUGGACAGCCUCGCGGCGAGCCCCAGGCACGCGGCGCAGGGGCCGAGGAUGCCCGACGGCACGCGAGGGUUCACCAUGGGCCGGGGGAGGCCGGCGGCGCCUGCCGUGGCAUCGGCUGCUGUCGUCCGGGUCGUGUAGGUCGCCAGCUCCGCGGUAGUGUCUGACCGGUCAAAUGUUUGAUGACUGUUUUUUUCUUUGAGGCAAGAUUUGGUUUAUUUUGAGGGAGAAGAUGAAAGUGGCAGCGUCAUCUUUUUUUUUCUUUUUCUUUCUUGUGGGGUCUAAAUAAGUCGUUUUGAUUUUGUUUUUAAUUACGGAAUAAUAUGUAUGUGGUAAAGUUGCAUUGCUGUCUGUCAUGUAAUUUGAGGAGGUUAUGGGCUUAUAUAUGGCAAAAGUACGGACUAGAAUUAUCUUUGACUUUGCUAUUUAUUUGUUGACAGAUUUUUUUAUAGUAAAUUUGUCAGAUUUCUAUACAUUUGAUUGUACUUUAGAAUUUGUGCUACAACUAAUAACUACUAGAUCAUAUUUAUACAAAAAAAAGAUAGAUUUAAUUACAUAAAAUAUUUCGACAGAUAACUAAACACUCUCAUUAUCCUUUUGAAGUUUGGAUUCAGAGCACCUCUUAAGAAAGAGAGAGUUUUGAUUCCGAGUAAAUUAAAAUCAAUAUAAUAGUUAGUAAACAUACUCCCUCUAUUAUCUUUUAUUAUCAGACAUAUGGUGUUUUUUUUUUUUGAUGAUAUGUUGGGCACGGGGUACCUUCCGAGGAACUCGACGAUGCAUGCUUAAUCAGCACAAUUAAUCCCGUGUAUGUAUGCAGUGGCGGACUCAGGAUUUGGCCAAGACUAGGUAAGCAAAGUUUGCAAAUGUAGAGAAAUUCUUGAACUAUAUAAUUAAUAGUACGAUACAAUAGCUAUGAAAUAUCAAUGAACAUUGAAAAAUAAAUACCUAUUGUCUAGUGAUGAUUCGUUAUUCUUGUUCACCAACUCGAGAGAAAUACGAUGCAAUAGUUCUUGUCCUCUUCAUCUAAUUGGAAUCAAAAGUUCAUAAUUAGUAGGUAAAAUCAAGAGAAAAGAAUAACUGAAUUACUAAACUAAAAAAUUAAAAAAAAAAUACCUUCACUCAACUCACUCACGGCUUCAGCUUGUGGACAGGGUGGCGGCUUCACUGCCGAGGGGGCGAGCCGGCCAGACCAGCGCGGCCCCUGGCGGUGGCACCCUGGCCCUGCGUUGCAAGCCCCUGCUGCCUGCCUGCGCUGCCGCGAGCAGGCCACGCCUUGGCCGCCGCAGCCGCGAGCUGGCGCCCUGUCCCUACCUGCGCAGCUCUGUGACUCUGCGAGGCUGUGAGCAGGCCACGGCCAUGCUCUGGCCGCGAGGGUGCCGAGCCGUCGCGCCGAGCAGCCGACGCCGGAACAAGAGCCUGGUCGCCUGGCUCAAGCGGAGGCGAGGCGUCUGCGUCCGGGUGCGAGCAUGCGAUGGCGUUGGCGUGGGCAGAGAAGCCACCGCCAGGGGAGUUACCGCAGGUGGAGCGUGGCUGAGCGUCUGACCGACUUCUCCCCCCCCCCUAGUCUUCGCCCUAGUCUUCUCUUUAAAAUGGGCUUCUA